ensembl:lincRNA
GUUAAAGAUAACUUUCUUUUUCAGCAUCUGGGUACUUUGAAAGUUCCUGGGAAGGAAAUAUCUGCACUAUCUUGGGAAGGAGGUGGACUGAAAAUCGCACUAGCUGUUGAUUCCUUUAUAUAUUUUGCAAACAUUCGACCUAAUUAUAAGUGGGGUUAUUGCUCAAAUACUGUGGUUUAUGCAUAUACCAGACCUGAUCGUCCAGAGCACUGUGUUGUCUUCUGGGAUAUAAAACACAAUGAAAAACACGUUAAAUAUGUGAAGGGUCUCAUUUCUAUUACUACCUGUGGCGAUUUCUGCAUUUUGGCUACAAAAGCUGAUGAAAAUCAUCCUCAGUUUGUACUAGUUCUUUGUAAUUCUAUUGGUACUGCCUUGGAUCCCAAAUACAUUGAUAUUGUACCACUGUUUGUUGCAAUGACAAAAACCCAUGUGAUAGCAGCCUCGAAAGAAGCAUUUUACACCUGGCAGUAUUGUGUGGCAAAGAAGCUCACAGCAUUGGAAAUUAAUCAGAUCACACGGUCUCGAAAAGAAGGGAGAGAAAGAAUUUAUCAUGUUGAUGAUACCCCUUCUGGAUCAAUGGAUGGUGUGCUUGAUUAUAGUAAAGCCAUUCAAGGCACAAGGGAUCCAAUUUGUGCCAUAACUGCAUCAGAUAAGAUAUUGAUUGUGGGUCGUGAAUCUGGCACCAUUCAGAGAUACAGUCUACCUAAUGUUGGUUUGAUUCAAAAAUAUUCUGUUAAUUGUCGAGGCUACCAGUUAUCCUUGAAUUGCAACUCUAGGUAAGCCUGAAAACUCUGCUCAUGUAGAUGUUAGACUUAGGAAUUAUCAGUUGGGAUUGUUAGAUUUAUAUGUAAUAAAUGUAAAGAUGGGUGUGUCUAUUGAACUUGUCUUAAAAUUCAGUAUGGUUUUAUUUUAUACUGCAUUUGGUUUAAAUGUCUUUAAUGGGGCAUAUGGAAGUACUAGUAUAAUUUUUACUCUUAAAACUUAAAAGCAUUGAGAUUAUUUUAUAUUUCAUACCCAUUGGUUUCAUCUCUUUGGAUACAUUUUCCUCAGAAGAGAGCAAAAUGGAGAGUAAUCCAUAUCUUGUAUCAAAUUUAUUUUAAAAAAUUUAAGCCAUUUCUACUGUAUUCCAGGUUUCUGAUAAUCUGAUUUUGAAGAAGAAUGGCUGUAGGUAAUUAUUCUCAUGAUUGCUGAUAGUAAUUUUAUAGUUUUUUCCUUUUCUCCAAUUGCAUUAUUUUUAGCCAUCUUGCUGUCAUAGAUAUCUCAGGAGUUCUGACUUUCUUUGACUUGGAUGCUCGAGUAAUGGACAGUACAGGACAGCAAGUAGUUGGAGAGUUGUUAAAAUUGGAGCGAAGAGAUGUCUGGGAUAUGAAGUGGGCCAAAGAUAAUCCUGAUUUGUUUGCAAUGAUGGAGAAGACAAGAAUGUAUGUUUUCAGAAACUUGGAUCCUGAGGUAAAAACAAGAAAUGAGUGUUAACAGUCUAUAAAUAAUGAGCCAAAUAUAAAAACCUGGAUGAUUCCCCCUUGUUUCUUUAAGAAGUUUGUUGAACAGCAGUGCCAACAUGGCUGCAUGAAUUUCUGAAAAUAAAUAGGAACAUUUCUGUGGA